AACGUUGCACGAUCAAGAAAUUGCUUUUAUGUUGCAAUACACUCACACUUUUCUACUACCCCACUCUCACUUUUCGAACUUGAAAGCCGUCUUGAUAUCAAUUUUCUCAUUCCAGUCACAAAUCGAAUUGAAUAGAAUUUAAUUGAGGCUUGUACCGCGACUUUAGGUCUAUUGUGCCCUCUCCUCGAUCAGAUAUUUUGACAAUAGUUUAACACUUUGAUUAAUCAUAGAAACUUGCUGGGCGCUGUUGAGGUGAUAUGACCCAUAUCCACUUAUAUGAAUCCAAAGUGUUAUUACAAAAAUAAUUUAUGCUGGCAAUGCUUUAAUGAAAAUGGGAAACUUCAGAAAGUGGUUGUCGGCACAACGUUCUUUCCGCCUUUUGACAACUGCUAAGCAAUAAUGGCUGUACGAUACGAACUUUGCGUUGGUCUCAACAAGGGACAUAAAACAUCUAAGGUAAAGAAUGUUAAAUAUACUGGAGACAAAAAGGUUAAAGGUCUUCGAGGAUCCCGUUUGAAGAACAUUCAAACACGGCAUACUAAAUUCAUGCGCGACUUGGUUCGUGAAGUUGUUGGACAUGCUCCCUAUGAGAAGAGAACCAUGGAAUUAUUGAAAGUUUCAAAGGAUAAACGUGCUCUGAAAUUCUUGAAACGUCGCUUAGGCACACACAUCCGUGCAAAGAGGAAGCGUGAGGAGUUGUCUAAUAUCCUCACUCAAAUGAGAAAGGCGCAAACUCACGCAAAGUAAUAGAUGGAAAAUGUUUAUUAGAAAACUUAGAAAUAAAAUAAGAACAAGUGUUCUAUAAAAGAAUUGUGAAAA